rnacentral:rRNA from 1 species
AGCAGCCGCGGUAAUUCCAGCUCCAAUAGCGUAUAUUAAAGUUGUUGCAGUUAAAAAGCUCGUAGUUGAAUUUCGGGAUCAAAGGAUCGGUCAUGCCUUGGUAUGUACUGGUUUUAUUGGUUCUCACCUUCUAAAGAACCAUAAUGUCAUUCAUUUGAUGUUAUGGGGAAUUAGGACUGUUACCUUGAAAAAAUUAGAGUGUUUAAAGCAGGCUUACGCUUGAAUACAUUAGCAUGGAAUAAUGAAAUAGGACAUCAGAUUCUAUUUUGUUGGUUUCUAGGAUCGAUGUAAUGAUUAAUAGGGAUAGUUGGGGGCAUUAGUAUUCAAUUGUCAGAGGUGAAAUUCUUGGAUUUAUUGAAGACUAACUACUGCGAAAGCAUUUGCCAAGGAUGUUUUCAUUAAUCAAGAACGAAAGUUAGGGGAUUCGAAGACGAUCAGAUACCGUCGUAGUCUUAACCAUAAACUAUGCCGACUAGGGAUCGGAUGAUGUUAAUUUUAUAAUGACUCAUUCGGA